rnacentral:rRNA from 1 species
ACGAACGCUGGCGGCGUGAUGAGACAUGCAAGUCGGACGGGAUUACUUUUGGUAGCAAUACCGAAAGUGAUUCAGUGGCGAACGGGUGCGUAACACGUGGGCAAUCUACCGAGAAGUGGGGGAUAGCUCGCCGAAAGGCGAAUUAUACCGCAUCUGAUCAGAGGCGACAUCGCUUCGAAAUCAAAGGUGGCGCAAGCUACCGCUUUUUGAGGAGCCCGCGGCCUAUCAGCUUGUUGGUGAGGUAACGGCUCACCAAGGCAUUGACGGGUAGCUGGUCUGAGAGGACGACCAGCCACACUGGAACUGAGACACGGUCAGACACCUACGGGUGGCAGCAGUCGAGAAUUUUUCUCAAUGGGGGAAACCCUGAAGGAGCGACGCCGCGUGGAGGAUGAAGGUCUUCGGAUUGUAACUCCUGUCAUUGGGGAACAAUGGUUACGCGUUAACUGCGCGUGACUUGAUAGUACCCGAAGAGGAAGAGACGGCUAACUCUGUGCCAGCAGCCCGCGGUAAUACAGAGGUCUCAAGCGUUGUUCGAUUCAUUGGGCGUAAGGGUGCGUAGGCGGCGCGGUAAGUCGGGUGUGAAAUUUCGAGGCUUAACUUCGAAACUGCAUUCGAUACUGCCGUGCUUGAGGACUGGAGAGGAGACUGGAAUUUACGGUGUAGCGGUGAAAUGCGUAGAUAUCGUAAGGAAAGACCAGUGGCGAAGGCGGGUCUCUGGACAGUUCCUGACGCUGAGGCACGAAGGCCAGGGGAGCAAACGGGAUUAGAUACCCCGGUAGUCCUGGCAAUAAACGGUGCACGUUUGGUGUGGGAGGAUUCGACCCCUUCUGCGCCGAGCUAACGCGUUAAACGUGCCGCCUGGGGAGUACGGUCGCAAGAUUAAAACUCAAGAAAUUGACGGGGGCCCGCACAAGCGGUGGAGUAUGUGGCUUAAUUCGAUGCAACGCGAAGAACCUACCUGGCCUUGACAUGCAUCUCUAAGCUGGUGAAAGCCAGUGAGUCCCGAAAGGGACAAUUUGCACAGGUGCUGCAUGGCUGUCGUCAGCUCGUGUCGUGAGAUGUUGGGUUAAGUCCCGCAACGAGCGCAACCCCUGUGAACUGUUUGCCACCAAGCCGUGAGGCUUGAGCACUCUGUUCAGACUGCCCUGUGAAACGGGGAGGAAGGUGGGGACGACGUCAAGUCAGUAUGGCCCUUACGGCCAGGGCUGCACACGUACUACAAUGCCCAGUACAGAACGAUCCGAGACCGCGAGGUGGAGGAAAUCUAUCAAAACUGGGCCCAGUUCGGAUUGAAGUCUGCAACCCGACUUCAUGAAGCCGGAAUCGCUAGUAAUGGCGCAUCAGCUACGGCGCCGUGAAUACGUUCCCGGGCCUUGUACACACCGCCCGUCACGUCAUGGAAGUCGCUUGUAGCCGAAGCCGGCGCGCUAACCGCAAGGAGGCAGCCGCCUACGCUAUGAGCGGUAACUGGGAUG